rnacentral:misc_RNA from 1 species
AACGCACAUUGCGCCCUCUGGUAUUCCGGGGGGCAUGCCUGUUCGAGCGUCAUUACAACCCUCAAGCUCAGCUUGGUAUUAGGCUUCACCUGCUAUAGGCGGGCCUUAAAAUCAGUGGCGGUGCCAUUUGGCUUCAAGCGUAGUAACUUUUCUCGCUCAGGAGUACCGAUUGUGUGCCUGCUAAAAAUCCAAAUUUUAUCAAAGGUUGACCUCGGAUCAGGUAGGGAUACCCGCUGAACUUAA